GGCUUUCGUGUUGUUCACCUCACCACAUUUGAUGGAUGUCCGGGAGUGGUUCUGGCUACAUGGGUAAUUUAUUCAUCCAUUGUUCUUGUUCUUAUUUGUUUCUUAUGGUGUUGCUAAGUGUACUCAUAAUUAUUCAAAAUUACAUGUAAAUAUGUUUUGCCAUCCUUUAAGUUUAUCAUUUUUUUCCCACUGAAAACUGUAGGGCAAUUAUAACGUUGUCUUUUGUAUUAGUUAUGCGCUUAUCCUGCUAUGUAGGUAUAGGAGUUACAUAUUUCGAAUUCGCGCGUGUUAGUUACACAGGUAAGUUUUGCCUUACAAGUAACAUGCUUUCUAGAAUCUUGCUUCCUUUUUAUCAGUUAUUUUGCACUCCGUCUCACUAGAAUCUUGCUUCCUUUUUGUAAUGACUACGUAUUUUGCACUCCGUCUCACACCUUCUUUUCUUUCAUUGGAUCUUACUCUCAAGUUGUCCAAGACAACUGGAGUGUGUCCUUUGCAUUCACUGCACAUCAGUGCAGUCCAAAUAUUAUAUGCAAUCAAGAAAAACGGAAAAUAUUAAAUAUUACGAGUCAGAUAUCAGCUGCUGGUGUCAGGCAGUGGGCAAAUGGAGAAUGGAGACGAUGACGCCGCGGUCCAUGGAGCUGUUCGUGACGCACGAUCACGCGGCGAAGGAGCAAGCGGAUUCUCAGCUGACAUGGUUGCAGCUGGAGGAACACCCCGCGUGGUUGAGCAGGGGCACACUUUUGAGAGGUUCGUGUACUUUGUGAGCACAUUGGACAUGCUGGAGAUGGUGAAUAUAUUCUAUGCUAAAAUGUUUCAUCUAGAUGGGGCUAACAAACGUCAAACCUAACUCAUGCCCAUAUAUAUAUAUCUCAUGUAGUGAACUCUAGAUGGAGCCUUGGUAAUACUUUUGUGUGUGAUACUGAUAUCCCACGUACUGAAUUUCAAGCCUUCGAAUGCUCUUGUGUCACAUAUAGCUUCUCUUUGUUAGCUUCAUUUCCUUUUGGAUUUGGAUUGUCUAACUGAAUUAUGCUCUGUGUGACUCUAAUCACAUAUACUACUUCCUAUAA